rnacentral:rRNA from 1 species
CCUGAUCCAGCAAUGCCGCGUGAGUGAAGAAGGCCUUCGGGUUGUAAAGCUCUUUUGUCAGGGAAGAAACGGCGAGCUCUAAUACAGUUUGCUAAUGACGGUACCUGAAGAAUAAGCACCGGCUAACUACGUGCCAGCAGCCGCGGUAAUACGUAGGGUGCAAGCGUUAAUCGGAAUUACUGGGCGUAAAGCGUGCGCAGGCGGUUUUGUAAGUUUGUCGUGAAAUCCCCGGGCUCAACCUGGGAAUGGCGAUGAAGACUGCAAGGCUAGAGUUUGGCAGAGGGGGGUAGAAUUCCACGUGUAGCAGUGAAAUGCGUAGAUAUGUGGAGGAACACCGAUGGCGAAGGCAGCCCCCUGGGUCAAAACUGACGCUCAUGCACGAAAGCGUGGGGAGCAAACAGGAUUAGAUACCCUGGUAGUCCACGCCCUAAACGAUGUCUACUAGUUGUCGGGUCUUAAUUGACUUGGUAACGCAGCUAACGCGUGAAGUAGACCGCCUGGGGAGUACGGUCGCAAGAUUAAAACUCAAAGGAAUUGACGGGGACCCGCACAAGCGGUGGAUGAUGUGGAUUAAUUCGAUGCAACGCGAAAAACCUUACCUACCCUUGACAUGGAUGGAAUCCCUGAGAGAUUGA